ACCGUGGUAAUUCUAGAGCUAAUACAUGCUUAAACGCCCGACUUUAUGGAAGGGUGGUAUUUAUUAGACUGAAGCCAAUAUUCCUUGUGUCUAUUGCGGUGAUUCAUAAUAACUGAUCGAAUCUCUUUUUGAGAUAAAUCAUUCAAGUUUCUGCCCUAUCAGCUUUCGAUGGUAGUGUAUUGGACUACCAUGGCAGUAACGGGUAACGAAGAAUUAGGGUUCGAUUUCGGAGAGGGAGCAUGAGAAACGGCUACCACAUCUAAGGAAGGCAGCAGGCGCGUAAAUUACCCAAUCCUGACUCAGGGAGGUAGUGACAAGAAAUAGCAAACCGGGAACCUCAUGGUUUCACGGUAUUGCAAUGAGAACAAUUUAAAACCCUUAGCGAGAAUCAAGUGGAGGACAAGUCUGGUGCCAGCACCCGCGGUAAUUCCAGCUCCACUAGCGUAUAUUAAAGUUGUUGCAGUUAAAAAGCUCGUAGUUGAACCUCUGUCUGGGGCUAGUUUUGGCUUUGGUCAGGCUAGUUCUAGGCAUCCGCCUACAAGACUUAGAGGGCAUUCAGUUGUUCACUAGGAGGAGUAGGCAUUUUACUUUGAAAAAAUUAGAGUGUUUAAGGCAGGCAAUCGCCCGCAUAUAUUAGCAUGGAAUAAUAGAAUAGGACACUUUUCCAUUUCGUUGGUUAUUGGAAUCGUGUAAUGAUUAAUAGGGACAGUUGUGGGCAUUUGUAUUUAAUUGUCAGAGGUGAAAUUCUUGGAUUUAUUAAAGACAAACUAACGCGAAAGCAUUUGCCAAGGAUGUUUUCAUUAAUCAAGAACGAAAGUUAGGGGGUCAAAGACGAUCAGAUACCGUCCUAGUCUUAACUAUAAACUAUUCCGACUCAAUGUUUGACUGGCUUAUAUAACCAGUUGAGCGUUGUAUGAGAAAUCAAAGUCUUUAGGUUCUGGGGGGAGUAUGGUUGCAAAGCUGAAACUUAAAGGAAUUGACGGAAGAGCACAACCAGGAGUGGAUUCUGUGGCUUAAUUUGACUCAACACGGGGAAACUUACCAGGUUAAAACAAUAGUGGGAUUGACAGUUUGAGAGCGCUUUCUUGAUUGGUUGGGUGGUGGUGCAUGGCCGUUCUUAGUUGGUGGAGCGAUUUGUCUGCUUAAUUGCGUUAACGAACGAGACCUUAAC
rnacentral:rRNA from 1 species